UGAGGAAUAUUGGUUAAUGGACGCAAGUCUGAACCAGCCAAGUAGCGUGCAGGAUGACGGCCCUAUGGGUUGUAAACUGCUUUUAUAUGGGGAUAAAGUGGGGAACGUGUUCCCUUUUGCAGGUACCAUAUGAAUAAGGACCGGCUAAUUCCGUGCCAGCAGCCGCGGUACUACGGAAGGUUCGGGCGUUAUCCGGAGUUAUUGGGUUUAAAGGGAGCGUAGGCCGUUUGGUAAGCGUGUUGUGAAAUGUAGGAGCUCAACUUCUAGAUUGCAGCGCGAACUGUCAGACUUGAGUGCGCACAACGAAGGCGGAAUUCAUGGUGUAGCGGUGAAGUGCUUAGAAAUCAUGAAGAACUCCGAUUGCGAAGGCAGCUUACGGGGGCGCAACUGACGCUGAAGCUGGAAGGUGGGGGUAUCGAACAGG
rnacentral:rRNA from 1 species